UACGUAGGGUGCUAGCGUUAAUCGGAAUUACUGGGCGUAAAGCGUGCGCAGGCGGUCCUGCAAGUCAGGCGUGAAAUCCCCGGGCUUAACCUGGGAAUGGCACUUGAAACUACGGGACUGGAGUAUGGCAGAGGGAGGUGGAAUUCCACGUGUAGCGGUGAAAUGCGUAGAGAUGUGGAGGAACACCGAUGGCGAAGGCAGCCUCCUGGGCCAAUACUGACGCUCAUGCACGAAAGCGUGGGGAGCAAACAGG
rnacentral:rRNA from 1 species